UGUCCCACCCACCAGCACUGCUAUAAAUCCAGCCUGUUUGGGGCAAAGCAGCAUUCCCUGGCCCCAAGGGCAUCUGGACACAGCCAUUCCAGGUGGGUUUGCUGCUGCCUCAACACCCUGACCUUCUCCAGGCAGCAGUGGGUCCCAGAUCUGCAGUCUGUGCUCUGGGAAAAGGUUUCAGAAGACCUGUGAGGAAGGCAAUUGAAUCAGUGCAGGUUAUUGAUUUCCCAGAGACUGAGACAGUGGAAUACUGCCAAGGUUUGAAUGCCGGCACAGACAUAAGAGUUGUUUUUAGAGAAAGCUCUGUGAAGACCCAGGAGAGGCAGCAGCCAUGAAGAUCCUGUUCCUGCUCUUCCCCCUGAUCCUCCUGUUGGUCCAGGGUGCUGCAGAAAUAGGAAGUGAACUUGAAUGCAAACGCCGAAGAGGAUACUGUUAUUUUGGGAGAUGUGUCCUCCCUGCAAGGCAAAUUGGAAGAUGCACAGGACAAACCGUCUGCUGCAGAGGAAUCUGGGGUUGAGUCCCUGAAAUUCCCAAGCAGGACUUGCCCCUCACUUCUGACUGCUGGACCCAUCUCCUGAUGUCCCCUCCC